AAAGAGAGAGGUAGCUUCUGGCAGUUCUAGGUUGAGAUCUCCAGGUAAGAACUAUAUAAGAAACUUGUGCUUCUGCUAGUGAAGGAUUAAUAAUAUCUGUAACUAUUUGGUUGUAGCUUUAAAAUAAUAAUAAUAAUAAAUAAAAUGACAAAGCGAGUGUAGAAGCUGGGAUGCUUCUAUUUUUUGAAUUUUCAAAUAAGCAGACAUAUCAGUCACUCAUACACACACACGCACAUAUAAUAUAUGUGAUCUUGUAUUGAUUAUGAUUUAUGUGGCGUAUUUUGGACUUGAAAGUAUAUUGUUUGAAAGAGAUAGAGCAGACAGUAGACUACUAGUAUACGUGGGUUGACUCGGUGUUAAUCUUACAUAUGUAAUCAAAUCAAGCGGUGUGUGCUAGCUAGUGGUGUUGGUGAAUUAACGAGUAUUAAUUUGGCCUCGUGGGUUUUGUUCCAUGGAGCCAAUAUUGGAGCGUACACAUAGAUAUAUGCCAGAAGGAAUGAUCUCGUGAUCUGUAUAUCUCACUCGUCAUUCAUCUAUUUAAUUUGCUCAUAGAAGUAAACAGUAUUGUAAAUGUAAAGAACUUGAAUCCUAAUCCUAAUCCUAAUGAAGAUGCCACUCAAGUUUCAAUUUAAUGUUGCCAAAAAUUUUAUGGUUAUGCGCUCUGAGCAUUCAUUAAUUAACUACCUGUAUGUUAUGACGACAUUCGAUGAUUUUAACCGGAGAAUGUUCGAUCGGUGUCGUUUUCUUUCUCAUCUUUAAUUCUUCUUGUUCUGAUGUUGAUGUAGGCGUGCAAGGACACAAAGCACGCAUGCCCUGAGUUGCUAUUUCUGAUAAGGCUUCUUCAGGAGGCCGGGCAAAUAAAAUAUAAAGAUUUGCCGACAGGUAAUAUUAUUAAUACGCGAUUGUGGUUUGUGGCUGUGGCCACUAGUUCGGCGCCAGGUCAAGGAAGGUGUACACAUGGCCAUAUGGUAUUAGCCAACUGCACGGGCAGAUAUCUAAGCUCAUCGAUAUGUGGAUCCCCAGUAGUCAUUGCGAUGGAUCCGAUGCUGUACGAGUUCUCGUGUCGGCUCCUCCCUCCCCCGCGCUCCUGCAUUUUUUCUAUGAGGGCUGGUGCUCAACGGUAGUUCUAGUCCUUGCUGCAGGGAAUUGCCUUCAAAUAAAAAAUAUUGCAUGCACAAUUAAUCUCUCUCUCCCUCUUUUCUUUUUUUUUUUUUUUUUUUUUUAACUUCGAUUCCUUGUUUGAG
rnacentral:lncRNA from 1 species